CCGAUCACCUUUGCGUGUCAUAAUAGAACCUUAAAUCUACAUGAAAGCUCCACUUUUUCACCGUCUUCCCUUCGCUCCACUCGUUUGCAAGUCGGAUCUUUUGGCCCCCUUUCGCUACAUGUUUCACAUUAAGUGUGUUGAGUUCAAGAAGAAGAAGAAGCCAAUGGGUCAAUCUCUCACCAUUUCUUCCUCCAAACUGUAGUCAAUGACAAGGACAAGGUCAUGGGUGAACUGAGCCAGAGAGAAGAAGCGUCGUGAAGGCCACCAUUGGUGACUCCUUGACGUAUGCUGCAGUACACACGACUUGGACUUGCACUGAUUAUGAAUCCUACGUGGGAAAUGACUAACAUCACAUGGUGUUUUUUUUCUUUUUUUGUGUGCUUCG
rnacentral:lncRNA from 1 species